GGAGAGUGGUGGGUGCCUGGUGGCCCCCGCGGUCUUCAAAACCGUUGAAGCGUCGUAAUCCGGCGCUUGGUUGGUUCAAUUCCUUCCCUCUCCG
rnacentral:tRNA from 1 species